UACGUAGGGGGCAAGCGUUGUCCGGAAUCAUUGGGCGUAAAGCGCGUGUAGGCGGCCCGAUAAGUCCGCUGUGAAAGUCCAGGGCUCAACCCUGGAAUGCCGGUGGAUACUGUCGGGCUAGAGUCCGGAAGAGGCGAGUGGAAUUCCUGGUGUAGCGGUGGAAUGCGCAGAUAUCAGGAGGAACACCAAUAGCGAAGGCAGCUCGCUGGGACGGUACUGACGCUGAGGCGCGAAAGCGUGGGGAGCGAACAGG
rnacentral:rRNA from 1 species